UAAGAAAGUAAUUAAGGGCGCAUGGUGGAUGCCUUGCCUCUCAAUGGCGAAGAAGGACGUGAUAAGCUGCGAUAAGCUUCGGGGAGGUGCAAAUAACCUUUGAUCCGAGGAUUUCCGAAUGAGAUAACUCUUACAGGUGACGCCUGUAAACCCGAUAGGGAGCUAACCCGGAGAACUGAAACAUCUAAGUACCCGGAGGAAAAGAAAACAAUAGUGAUUCCCCAAGUAGUGGCGAGCGAACGGGGAAGAGCCCAAACCGUUGUUGUUAAGGCAACAGCGGGGUUGUAGGACUGUAACGUGAAUAAUUAACAGAAGUUGAAGCUUUUGGAAAGAAGUACCAUAGAGGGUGAUAGGCCCGUAAACGUAAUGCUUAAUUAUUCUAACAGUAUCCUGAGUACCGCGAGGUCGGAGACGCCUUGUGGGAACCAGCCGGCACCAUCCGGUAAGGCUAAAUACACUUGAGAGAGCGAUAGCGAACCAGUACUGUGAAGGAAAGGUGAAAAGAACCUCGAACAGAGGAGUGAAAUAGAACCUGAAACCAUGCGCUUACAAGCGGUCGGAGCUCUUCGGAGUGACGGCGUGCCUUUUGCAUAAUGAGCCUACGAGUUACUUCUCUCUGGCAAGGUUAAAUCCGAUGACGGAUGCAGCCGAAGCGAAAGCGAGUCUGAAUAGGGCGUAUAGUCAGAGGGAGUAGACGCGAAACCUUGUGAUCUACCCUUGGUCAGGAUGAAGUUUCGGUAACACGAAAUGGAGGUCCGAACUGGUGAGCGUUGAAAAGCUCUCGGAUGAACUGAGGGUAGGGGUGAAAGGCUAAUCAAACUGGGAAAUAGCUCGUACUCCCCGAAAUGUUUUUAGGAACAGCCUCGAGGUUGAGUGUCGCAGAGGUAGAGCUACUAAUUGGGCUAGGGGGCUUCACCGCCUACCAAACCCAGAUAAACUCCGAAUGCUGACGACAUAUACUCGGGAGUGAGGCAUAGGGUGCUAAGGUCCUGUGCCGAGAGGGAAAGAACCCAGACCAUCAGCUAAGGUCCCUAAAUAUACACUAAGUUGGUUAAACGUGGUCCAAUUGCUUUGACAGCUAGGAUGUUGGCUUGGAAGCAGCCAUUCAUUUAAAGAGUGCGUAACAGCUCACUAGUCGAGCGAUCGGGCGUGGAUAAUAAUCGGGCAUCAAGUGUAAUACCGAAGCUAUGGAUUAAUACAGCAAUGUAUGACUGGUAGGGGAGCAUUCUAACAGCACUGAAGGCGUAUCGUAAGGUACUCUGGAGCGGUUAGAAAAGCAAAUGUAGGCAUAAGUAACGAUAAGGCGGGUGAGAAACCCGCCCACCGUAAGACUAAGGUUUCCUGAUCAACGUUAAUCGGAUCAGGGUCAGUCGGGGCCUAAGGUGUAGCCGAAGGGCGAAGCCGAUGGACAACAGGUUGAUAUUCCUGUACUGACAUGGAUAGUGAUGGAGUGACGGAGUAGUGAAAGGUCUGCGUACUGACGGAUUAGUACGUUAAAGCCCGUAGAUAUAGGCACCGCAGGAAAAUCCGCGGAGCUUGUCGAAGGUGAUAGUACCACAAGUCUUCGGAUGAGUGGAUAAUGACCCUAAUCAGACUUCCAAGAAAAACUUCUAAACUUAUAUCCAUGCCACCCGUACCGCAAACCGACACAGGUAGUCGAGGAGAGUAUCCUCAGGUGCUCGAGUGAAUCAUGGCUAAGGAACUCGGCAAAUUGGCCCUGUAACUUCCGGGAUAAAGGGCGCCCUCCGCAAGGGGGGCCGCAGUGAAAAGGUCCAGGCGACUGUUUAUCAAAAACACAUGGCUUUGCAAAAUCGAAAGAUGAAGUAUAAGGCCUGACACCUGCCCGGUGCUGGAAGGUUAAGAGGAGAUGUCAGUCGCAAGACGAAGCAUUGAAUUGAAGCCCCAGUAAACGGCGGCCGUAACUAUAACGGUCCUAAGGUAGCGAAAUUCCUUGUCGGGUAAGUUCCGACCUGCACGAAUGGUGUAACGAUCUGGACACUGUCUCAGCCAUGAGCUCGGUGAAAUUGUAGUAUCGGUGAAGAUGCCGAUUACCCGCAACGGGACGGAAAGACCCCGUGCACCUUCACUACAACUUAACAUUGACUUUGGAUAAUUGAUGUGUAGGAUAGGUGGGAGACUGUGAAGCGGUGGCGCUAGCCAUCGUGGAGUCAACCUUGAAAUACCACCCUUCAAUUAUUUGGAGUCUAAUCCCGGCAUUAGUCGGGAAACAUUGUUUGGUGGGUAGUUUGACUGGGGUGGUCGCCUCCAAAAGAGUAACGGAGGCUCCUAAAGGUACCCUCAGCACGCUUGGUAACCGUGCGUAGAGUGCAAUAGCAUAAGGGUGCUUGACUGUGAGACCUACAAGUCGAGCAGGUACGAAAGUAGAGUAUAGUGAUCCGGUGGUUCCGCAUGGAAGGGCCAUCGCUCAAAGGAUAAAAGGUACGCCGGGGAUAACAGGCUGAUCUCCCCCAAGAGCUCACAUCGACGGGGAGGUUUGGCACCUCGAUGUCGGCUCGUCACAUCCUGGGGCUGGAGAAGGUCCCAAGGGUUGAGCUGUUCGCUCAUUAAAGUGGCACGCGAGCUGGGUUCAGAACGUCGUGAGACAGUUCGGUCCCUAUCUGUUGUGGGCGUUAGAAAUUUGAGAGGGCCUGACUCUAGUACGAGAGGACCGUGUCGGACAAACCGCUGGUGUACCUGUUAUCGCGCCAGCGGCACCGCAGGGUAGCUACGUUCGGUUAAGAUAAGCGCUGAAAGCAUCUAAGCACGAAACUUGCCUCAAGAUGAGACUUCUUUAUAAGGGUCGUCGAAGACUACGACGUUGAUCGGAUAUAGCUGUAACAGCAGUAAUCUCAAAGCCGAGUACUACUAAUUACCCGUUAGCUUUCUCAUA
rnacentral:rRNA from 1 species